UCUCAUAAUUUAUAUUAUUACUAAAUCUCGAUUACAAAGUAAUUAUCAUUCACCUCAGGAAGUGAUUUAUACUUCCUGUAAGACUGAGCCUGUCUUCACAGAGGCCCUGCCCACAAGUUUCUCAGGGAUCUUAAUAGAUGUCAUGUUAAGCUAUCACAUCUCACCAUCGUAUAAUAGCCCCUGAUGUGCACUGAUUCCACUGAGGUUUUCAACCAUAUCGCAGAUUUCCCAGGCUUCAUCCAUCAGGAUCACUCUCUGGGUACAACUGCCUUUUUUCCUUGUCAGACUAUAACUUUAGUGUGCUGUGACAUUAAAACCACAUCUUGUUGAAAACCACAAACUGUGGAAAAAGCAAAGCCUGGGAAAGGCUGGACCCUGCCAACGAAUCACCAGUGGGCUCGUAGAGAAGUGCAGUCCCUCUAUCUGCAUCUGGGGGAAAGCGGAUCUGGAAGGAGGCCACUUAGCAACCCCAAAUCUCCCAAGAGUAGGAUGCGUGUCCAAAUCGGAGUGCAGAAAAUCCUUAAAUUCUGAUUGGCCGGUCCAGGUGUCAUCUCAAAAUUCCAACACAUGAUUGGCCAUCUCCCAAGGCUGAGGCGGGAUGCUCUUUAAAACCCAAUAUGGCCUCCUUGGUUUGAACUGGAGCGGGAAACCAUGUCAAGAAAUGACAGAUUCAUUUGGAUGUUUCCCAUCCAAAAUAAAUAUCACCGGCAGCUGUGAAUUGCGGCGAAGAGCGGAAGAUAGAAUCGCAAAUGAAUGUUCCAGACUCUCAGAUCCUGCCCUGUGAAGUGUUCAGAUCUGAAGCUAAUCAAAAAGCAAACUAAACAAACAAAAAACAUCUUUGCCAUCUCGUAUUGCAGGUCGGCAGCCUUGUAGCCCUGGGUUUGUGCUCAUUAACCUUAGUCGAUUUAGAGAUCAUGUAGAUUAGCUGUAGAUUGCCGUUUUAUUACUAAACAUCAAUCUCGAGCAACACGAACUGCUAAAAAUAAUCUGGAUAUGAAUGUUUUACGUAUGUUUUUUUUUUCUCCUCUGAAAUACCACACACUCCCAGAGUUUUUCCAGCUCUGUAAGUACAGAGGCUUUGUAAUUGAUAGUAUUCAUUAAGCCAAACUACCCAUGGUUAAUUGCUUCUGUGAAGCUUUGGCUCUGGGGAGCAGCUCCACAGCUGAGCCGAAUGGUUUGCUCUUGGCCAAGGAACAAAGCUAUCAGCAGACAUGUUUGAGGGCAUUCGGGCUUCCUCUUGAAAUUAAGCAGGAAUUGUCACUCGGCUGACAAACCGCCAUCGGACAACAGCAUCAGCAGGAACCCUGGAAAAGUAGAGGAAAAUAACAAAUCCACGACCACUAUGGGAAUGCAGUAAAAUGUGUUUUCCUGCAGCCUGGAAUCCGCACAGAAUCGAGUGGAAAGCGGCCUUCCCGGAGGCCUGUGAAGGCUACACGAGAACGGGUCGAGUCACAGGAUUGCAUCAUCAUGUGUCACAAAACCCCCUGACACCCCCUGACCGCAUGCCUUUAGAUUUCUGAAUCAUGCUAUUACGUAACUCUGAGCACAUUUGCAGACUCCGAAAGGGGUGACGUUUUUUGUGAUUCUGAUCGAGUGACUCCGAAGUGGAAGGAGGAUAUGGGGUGUCUCAUUUGGAUGGGGGCCUUGAAGCCAUUCCCUUGGCUCUUCCUCCAAGUAUGACCUUUCUGACAGAGGGUGGGAUAGGAUCCAAGCCCACGGCCCGACGCCACAUCAAAUCAACCAUUUCCUCCCAUGAUAGGAUGGCUCAGACGAGCUUCCCAGAUCUCCAAUAAGGAGGAAAAGAGAUGGAUCAAUCCUGGUGGAUUUUGUUCAUCUUUGUUCCUUCCCACAAAAGCCUCUCGUGUUUCUUCUAAACCAUCGAUAGAUUUUUCCUCAAUCUCACAUUGUUCUGAAUAAAGGCAUGCUGACACAAAAGUA